AUCAAUCAAACUAGUUAACUCUAAAGAGUUUUGGGAGGGAACUAAUUUGCUGCGUCCUGAGACACAAAAUUAGGAAACCUUCUAGAAGACCAACUAAAAAGAGGAGUAUUGAUGUGGUGGCUGAGUCUCGGAUAAAAAGAACAAGGUCACAAAAUCAAGAAAGCCUUAUAGGUGAUAUACAGUAAAUGUGAACAGAAGAGCCACUAUCAUAGGACAUGUAAAGGAACACCAACAAAUUCAAAUUGACAAAAAAAAAAGAAGCCAAAGCAAUAACCAAGUGAAAAUCAAUCAGAACGAACCCCUGCAAAUCAGAACUCAGAACAGAAUUCGGAUGGAGUUCAAUCAAAUGGAAGCAACAAUCUGGCUGGGGAACCUCUGGACCCACUGGUA